UAAUUUUACUCUUUAAAUUAAAACACUAAGGUUUUAUUUACUAGCAUUAAUGACAUGUAUCUUGGUUUAAAAUUGUUUACUCAAGAAAGUUCCCAAGUGGUUUUAUUUGGCCCACUUCUCUCUUAUUGUGGAUAUGCAGUAAAGCCCCUCAAAUGUAUCUUUACACUUUGCUUUGGUUUUUCUCAUUGGAUUAUCCUCUGGUUGGUUAAGGUAUCAGCAUUCAUCCCUGUAUUCUACAGUAUUCCAGUUCAUUGUGCAACAGAUGAGGGAGGAGAGGGAGGAGGACCUCCAGAUGACAUCAUGAAACAGAAGGGCAGAAGGCUGCAGGUGUCCUAUACAAAAUGACACCUGCCUCCCUGAGCCACCCUGCAGCAAGAAAGCACAAUGAGGACUCAGACCAAUGCUGUUCACCCAGGACAAAGACAAAGAGACUUAGCUUCUGCACACAGAGCUGGGAAGGAAAGGUGUAUUCUAACCAAACAAAUUAGUAACUUGUGUUUCCAGGUGUAACAGUCAGAGUAAAAAUGGGAAUAAAGAAAAUACUAUGGUUCUGUGUGUGUGUGUGUGUGUGUGUGUGUGUGUGUGUGUGUGUGUGUGUGUGUGUGUGUGUGCGUGUGUGUGUGUGUGUGUGUGUGAUAAAACAUAUAAUGUGUUGUAUAAACAUUAU